GAUGAACGCUAGCUACAGGCUUAACACAUGCAAGUCGAGGGGCAGCAGGAGAUUAGCUUGCUAAUCUUGCUGGCGACCGGCGCACGGGUGAGUAACGCGUAUCCAACCUUCCCCUUAGUAGGGCAUAGCCCGGCGAAAGUCGGAUUAAUACCCUAUGUUUUCCGUCGAUGACAUCAGAAGUGGAAUAAAGAUUUAUCGCUAAGGGAUGGGGAUGCGUCUGAUUAGGUUGAUGGCGGGGUAACGGCCCACCAUGCCGACGAUCAGUAGGGGUUCUGAGAGGAAGGUCCCCCACAUUGGUACUGAGACACGGACCAAACUCC
rnacentral:rRNA from 1 species